rnacentral:misc_RNA from 1 species
ACCGUAGCCGCCGCCGCCGCCGCCGCCACUCCACUCCUCUCUCCGACCACCUCUUCCCUCCACACAAUUACCAGAAUACCCUUCAUCUCCGCCACACCAAAAUGCAACAGGCCAAUCACCAAGCUCCACGUGUCCUCCAACCCAGUCGCUUCAUCCUCCACCAGUACAUCCAAACCCAAUCAAGAAUCCAUCUUUUUCGACGGCGGAGCUCACUAUGGAGACCUCGCAGCUAAUCUCCUUCUGGGUUUUACUCUUCUUUGGCUUCCAUUAACCCUAGCUUCAGUAUUUAGGGCUUUUUACUUGAGGUACAGGUUUACCAAUUUGAGGGUUACUGUCAUUUCCGGGUUAACGGGUCAAGACCGGAGCGAUUUCUCGUAUAAAGUAAUCAAAGAUGUUCAGGUUGUUCCAAGAUUUAUUGGUGAAUGGGGUGAUGUGAUUAUUACAUUGAAAGAUGGUACUGUUGUCGAUUUGAGAAGUGUUCCAAAAUUUAGGGAAAUUGCUAAGUAUUGUCUUUCAAUGGUGGAUAAAGAGUCGUCUGGAGUUUCGAAGGAGGCUAAUACUACUGAUGGGCCUAAAGGCUUUUGAGAAACAUGUAUGGUUAGUGCUUUAUACUUUGUUUUGAUUUUCAUAUACUGUUGUCUCGAUAAUUAAUUUUAGUAGCUCAGUUGGUUGGCUACCUGACUCCUGA